rnacentral:rRNA from 1 species
GGAGUCUGGGCCGUGUCUCAGUCCCAAUGUGGCCGAUCACUCUCUCAAGUCGGCUACUGAUCGUCGCCUUGGUGGGCCGUUACCUCACCAACUAGCUAAUCAGACGCGGGUCCAUCUCAUACCACCGGAGUUUUUCACACUUUGUCAUGCGACAUUGUGCGCUUAUGGGGUAUUAGCAGCUGUUUCCAACUGUUAUCCCCCUGUAUGAGGCAGGUUACCCACGCGUUACUCACCCGUCCGCCACUAAGUACAUCUAAUCGUCAUCCCGAAGGAAUCUGUCUAGAAGACUUCGUUCGACUUGCAUGUGUUAAGCACGCCGCCAGCGUUCAUC